rnacentral:lncRNA from 1 species
AUCUCUACUGAUAUCUACUCGAGAUCAGUCUGGAAUAAUCUUUUAGAAUUUAAAUUUUUUUUUCUAAGAAAAUUCAGCCUGCUGAAUCUGAACGAAAUCUGGAUCGCGAUCAACACUUAAUCUCUUUCUUUGAUCUUCUUCUUCUCCUCUUCUCUAGAGUUUUUCUUUGCUAUGUGCUACUAUCAGAUACUAAAAAUCAGUAAGGAAGAGGCACCAACAACAUUGGGCAUGGAACACCUUGAGACGUGCAUCCUAAGAGAAGGGGCGUAUAGAAUGCCCAAGAGAGAAAAGAAAAGGGGAGGAAGAGAGGGCAUCGAGGCCUUCUAUGGGCAUGAGGGCUGCUGGUUUGGAUGCUCUAGGGACCUUAGGAGAGAUCCCUUUAAAUAGGCACA